UACGGGGGGGGCAAGCGUUGUUCGGAAUUACUGGGCGUAAAAGGGCUCGUAGGUGGCCAACUAAGUCAGACGUGAAAUCCCUCGGCUUAACCGGGGAACUGCGUCUGAUACUGGAUGGCUGGAGAUUGGGAGAGGGAUGCGGAAUUCCAGGUGUAGCGGUGAAAUGCGUAGAUAUCUGGAGGAACACCGGUGGCGAAGGCGGCAUCCUGGACCAACACUGACGCUGAGGAGCGAAAGCCAGGGGAGCAAACGGGG
rnacentral:rRNA from 1 species